UGGGGAAUAUUGCACAAUGGGCGCAAGCCUGAUGCAGGGACGCCGCGUGAGGGAUGACGGCCUUCGGGUUGUAAACCUCUUUCAGCAGGGAAGAAGCGCAAGUGACGGUACCUGCAGAAGAAGCACCGGCUAACUACGUG
rnacentral:rRNA from 1 species